AGAGUUUGAUCCUGGCUCAGAUUGAACGCUGGCGGCAGGCCUAACACAUGCAAGUCGAGCGGUAGAGAGAAGCUUGCUUCUCUUGAGAGCGGCGGACGGGUGAGUAAUGCCUAGGAAUCUGCCUGGUAGUGGGGGAUAACGUUCGGAAACGGACGCUAAUACCGCAUACGUCCUACGGGAGAAAGCAGGGGACCUUCGGGCCUUGCGCUAUCAGAUGAGCCUAGGUCGGAUUAGCUAGUUGGUGAGGUAAUGGCUCACCAAGGCGACGAUCCGUAACUGGUCUGAGAGGAUGAUCAGUCACACUGGAACUGAGACACGGUCCAGACUCCUACGGGAGGCAGCAGUGGGGAAUAUUGGACAAUGGGCGAAAGCCUGAUCCAGCCAUGCCGCGUGUGUGAAGAAGGUCUUCGGAUUGUAAAGCACUUUAAGUUGGGAGGAAGGGUUGUAGAUUAAUACUCUGCAAUUUGGACGUACCGACAGAAUAAGCACC
rnacentral:rRNA from 1 species